rnacentral:tRNA from 1 species
GCCUGGGUGGCUCAGUCGGUUGAGCAUCCGACUUCAGCUCAGGUCACGAUCUCGUGGUUUGUGGGUUUGAGCCCCGCGUCAGGCU